rnacentral:misc_RNA from 1 species
UUUCCGUAGGUGAACCUGCGGAAGGAUCAUUACAGAGUUCAUGCCCUCACGGGUAGAUCUACCACCCUUGAAUAUUUAUACCUUAGUUGCUUUGGCAGGCCGUGGAAACACCAUGGGCUCCGGCUUAUGCGUGCCUGCCAGAGGAAACAAACUCUGUUUUUAGUGAUGUCUGAGUACUAUAUAAUAGUUAAAACUUUCAACAACGGAUCUCUUGGUUCUG